CUCCCAAUCAACCACUAGGUCAGACCACUACCUAACUAUAUUUACAGUAAACCCUCCCAGUCAACCACUAGGUCAGACCACUGCCUAGUUAUAUUUACAGUAAACCCUCCCAGUCAACCACUAGGUCAGACCACUGCCUAGUUAUAUUUACAGUAAACCCUCCCAGUCAACCACUAGGUCAGACCACUGCCUAGUUAUAUUUACAGUAAACUCUCCCAGUCAACCACUAGGUCAGACCUAACUAUAUUUACAGUAAACCCUCCCAGUCAACCACUAGGUCAGACCACUACCUAACUAUAUUUACAGUAAACCCUCCCAGUCAACCACUAGGUCAGACCACUACCUAACUAUAUUUACAGUAAACCCUCCCAGUCAACCACUA